ACCAUCCUUCUCUUGGAGCUGCACCACUGUCCAGUGAGCACGUAGUGAGGGCAGUACUGCUGAUGCCUACACAACAUGCCUGCACCAACUAGAACUUUGCUUUACCUUGGUGUGAUUUUUGGAAAA
rnacentral:ncRNA from 1 species